GUGGAAUAGGUUGGUUUAUUAAACAGGCUAAAACUUGAGGUCUAAAAUUGUCACGACCCCAAAUACCGGCCGUGAUGACGCCUAUUACAUUACUAGGCAACACCAACAGUCUAGGAAAUGCAGAAAAGAUAACAACACAGAGGAAAGAAACAGGGUUGCGGACGCCAUGCAACUACAAGGAAAUCUCCAUCAACACAUUGGAUCUGCUAAACAACCCUCAAUCAGCCGCUCAGGCACCUGGAUCUGCAUACAAGGUGAAGAGACCAACAUGAGUACACCAACUCAGUAAGUAACUAAAGUAAAUAAGGACUGAAAGCAGUGACGAGCAGUUCAAAAGCAUAAAACUGAAAAUCACAAGAUAACAUAUCAACUUUACAGUUUAAAACCAGUUUCGUCAAAGAAUCGGCCUUUCCAGUUAAAAACAUUUGAAAUCAGAUACUUAACAAUAUUGUCAAUAGAGGCUUAUUUGAAAACAGAGUGAAAUCAGUGAAAAUAUCAUAGAUGGGCCCCUCGGGCAAGGAAUCACAUGAAAUAUGGCCUCUCCCGCAACCUCUCAGUCACUUGUGACUUAACCCUCGUCAUUCAGUCUCAGAACAUCUUAUAAUAAUAGAAAUCAUAAUAAUCGUUGUGGCGUGCAGCCCGAUCCAUAUAUUUAUAGUCGACUAUGCUCACUAGGGGUGUGCAGACUCCGGAGGGGCUCCUACAGCCCAAGAAUUAUACCGCUGUGGCGCGCAGCUCGAUAUGCAGUCUGAUCCAUAUAAGUAUAGUUGCGGCGUGCAACCCGAUCCAUAACUCACAUAUAUACAAAUAUUCUCACACUUAGUUCCGCGGCCUCUCUCAAUCAUUAACCUCACAACCUCUCGGGCACAACAAUGGAAAUUAGGGAACUCAGUCCAAAUAGUUAUCUCUUUUAAAAGUAACAAAAAUAAACCCGUUUUUACAUUUAAUCGGUAAAACAUGACUGAGGAUAUGCUUUUAGCAAGUAAAGUGAGGAAAACCGUCAAAAUUCCCUUGAGGGUCUUCUACAGGCCGGCACAAAGCCCCAAACAUGGCAUACAACACAUAAUAUAGUAUAAUAUCCAAAAUAAGGAAUAAUAUUAUAUUUUCAAACCAAAUACGCAGCUUAAUAGGCGCUACGGGAUGGACCAAGUCACAAUCCCUACCAGUGCACGUCCACAUGCUCGUCACCUAGCAUGUGCGUCACCGUGUUUAUCAAAACAAGUCAAAUACCAGGGUUUUGUACCCUUAGUUCCAGAUUUACAAUGGUUGCUUAUCGUAAACCGGUGAAAUACUACUCUAUGAUGCUGUUUCCCCUCGAAUCGGCCUCCACUCACGUCGAAUCUAUCGAAAAUCAGAACGAGGACUUCAAAAUAUGCUAAAGGAACAAAGCCCAAGAGAAAACAUUCAAUAAAUGGCACAAAUCUCGAAAUUACCAAAAUCUGGCCCCCAGCCCAUGUCUCGAAAUUCAAAAAAUUUACAUCAAUAGAUUUCUGAUCUCCCUACGAGUUCAUACAUAUCAAAAGUUCUCAAAUCCGACCCCAAAUGGUCAUUCAAAUCCCCAAUCAAAGUCCCAAUUUCCAAGCUCUAGUUGCUAAUUUUUAGCUAAAUUUCCAUGAUUUUCUAGGUGGAAUUCACAUAAUAAUCGAAUUUUAAGUCCAAGACUAUUACCUCAAAGUGAUUCCACUUGAAUCCAUCUUCGAUCUCCUUCCCAAAAAAUCUCCAAAAAUGACCAAAUAUGGAGGAAAAUAACCCCACAUUCGCGGAUAAGGCGACCUUUUAAACAUUCUGCCCAGGCCUAAAAAUCGUUCUUCACGAAUACGGUCAAAGCCUCGGGUUCACGAAGCACAAAAUUACCUUGACUAAAUUUCCUCCUACGCGAUCGAGACACACACGCGAGCGCGAUGCCUUACCAGAUGACCCUUCGCGAACACGAACACUCCAUCGCGAACGCGAUGGGUUAACUCCUACUAAAGCUCAAUCUCUCUAUUUCUUCUAUGAGAACGUGACUACACGCACGCGAACGCGAUGCACAACCUCGCGGCUCUUCGUGAACGUGAAGGCUAAAUUCUAACCUUCCUAAGCUUACUCUUCGCUAAUGCGAGGGCCCACUCGCAAACGCGAAGAGUUAAUUUCUUGCAACAGUUGAACCUAUUUUCUGCAAUUUUCCUUAACUUAAAAUGAUUCGUUCAACCCUCUGAAACUUAUCUGAGGACCCCCAGACAUCAACCAAAGGGAUGAACAUAUCCUAAAACCUUAUUCAAACUUGUUCCAAUCUUCAAAGAACCUCAAAUACCAUCAAAUAUCAACCAAAGCACAUCGGAUUCAAGAUUAAGUUUCUAAAAUCUUCCGAAUUUCACUUUUGAUAAAAAACCAAACAAGACUACGUCUGAAUGACCUGAAAUUUUGCACACACAUCCCAAAUGAUAUAACGUAGCUACUACAACUCUUGGAAUUCCAUUCUAACCACUAUAUCAAAAUCUCACCUACCAAUCAGAAAUCGUCUAAAUAUUAACUUCGCCAAUUCAAGCCUAAAUCUAUUCCGGACCUCCAAAACCCAUUUCGAUCACGCUCCUAAUUCAGAAAUCACCUCUAGAAGCUAACCGAACCAUCAGAACUCACAUUUGAGCCCUCUAAUACAUAAGUAAAUAUCUUGUUGACUUUUCCAACUUAAGCUUCCUUAAGAAGAGACUAAGUGUCUCAAACCUUACCAAAUCCUUUGAGAACUCGAUCCGGCCGACUCGAUACAACAAAACACAGAUAACAAGCGUAAAGAAGCAGAAAUGGGGGAAAUAGAGCGGCAACUCAUGAGAUAACUUGCCGGGUCAUCACAUCAUCCCCAACUUAAACAAACGUUCAUCCUCGAAUGAGUUAAAAAUAUACAUGAAGCCUCAAACAGGUGAGCAUAUCUGCUCUGCAUCUCCCGCUCGGUCUCCCGGGUAGCCUCUUCCACGGGCCGACAUCUCCAGUGCACUUUCACUGAAGCUAUAUUCUUUGACCUCGACUUUCGAACUUGACGAUCCAAAAUAUCUACUGGCUCUACAUCAUAUGUCAAAUCAUCAUCCAAUUGAACCGUGAUGAAGUCCAGAAUAUGCGACAGAUCCCCAAUAUACUUCUGAAGCAUAGAAACAUGAAAUACAGAUGUACACUCGACAAGAUGGGUGGCAAAGCAAGCUCAUAAGCCACCUCCCCACUCAUCUGGAGUACCUCAAAAGGUCCAAUGAACCUCAGACUCAACUUCCCUUUCUUCCCAAAUCUCAUAACACCCUUCAUUGGUGAAACCUUCAACUGAACCUUCUUUCCAGCCAUGUACGACGCAUCUCGCACCUUCCUGCCAGCAUAGCUCUUUUGCCUUGACUGCGCUGUAUGGAGCCUCUCCUAAAUCACUUUUACCUUCUCCAACACAUCCUAUACCAAAUCUGUCCCCAAUAGCCUAGCCUCACCGGGAUCGAACCAACCAAUAGAAGAUCUACACUACUUCCAUACAAAGCCUUAUAUGGAGCCAUCUAAAUACUCAACGGUAACUGUUGUAAUAAGCAAACUCUGCAAGCGGUAGAAACUGAUCCCAUGACCCUCCGAAAUCAAUGACACAAGCACGUAACAUAUCCUCCAAUAUUUGAAUAGUACGCUCGGACUGCCCAUCCGCUUAAGGAUGAAAAGUUGUGCUCAACUCCACCUGAGUACCCAACUCUCGUUGCACAGACCUCCAAAACUGCGAUGUAAACUGAGUGCCCCUAUCUAAAAUGAUAGAAACAGGGACACCAUGCAAACGAACAAUUUCCCGGAUAUAAAUCUCUGCCAACCACUCUGAAGAAUGGGUAGUACACACAGGAAUGAAGUGCGCGGACUUGGUCAGCUGAUCCACAAUCACCCAAGUAGCAUCAAACUUUUUCAAAGUUCGUGGAAGUCCAACAACAAAGUCUAUAGUGAUCCUCUCCCACUUUCACACUUGAAUAUCCAUCCGCUGGAGCAAGCCACUCAGUUUCUGAUGCUCAUAUUUUACUUGCUGACAAUUGAGCAACGAGCUGAAAAUCCCACAAUGUCUUUCUUCAUUCUUCUCUACCAAUAGUGCUGCCUCAAAUCGUGAUACAACUCUGCGGCACCUGGAUGAAUGGAAUACCGUGAGCUAUGGGCCUCCUCUAGAAUCGACUCCUGAACGCCAUCCACAUUGGGCACGCAAGUCCGGCCCUGCAUCCUUAACACUCCAUCAUCACCAAUGGUCACAUCCCUUGCAUCGUCAUGCUGAACUCUAUCCCUAAGGACAACCAAAUCGAAUCAUCAUAUUGGCGCUCUCAAGUGCGCUCAUAUAAAGAAGACUAAGAAAUCACACAAGCCAAUACUCGACUAGGCUCCGAAAUAUCCAACCUCACGAACCUACUGGCCAAGGCCUGAAUAUCAACUACAACAGGUCUCUCCCCAACUGGAAUAUAUGCCGAACAUCCCAUACUCACUUCCCUUUCGGCUCAAAUCAUCGGCCACCAUAUUGGCCCUUUCCUAUAUGAUACAAUAUAGUGAUGUCAUAAUCCUUAAGCAACUCAAACCACCUCCGCUGUCUCAAACUAGGAUCCUUUUGCUUGAACAUGUGCUGAAGACUGCAAUGAAUAGUGAAGACCUCACAAGAUACGCCAUACAAGUAAUGCCUCCAAAUCUUCAAUGCGUAAACAAUGGCAGCCAACUCUAAAUCAUGAACGGGGUAAUUCUUCUCAUGGGGCUUCAACUGACGAGAAGCGUAAGCAAUAACUAUACCCUCCUACAUCGACACACAUCCAAUCCCAACUCUCAAAGCAUCACAAUACACGGUGUAUGAACCUGAAGCUGAUGGAAAAACCAAUACUGGAGCUGCGGUGAAAGCUGUCUUGAGCUUCUCAAAGCUCUCCUCACGUUCAUCUGACCAUACAAAUAAAGUACCCUUCUGAGUCAACUUGGUCAAAGGCGAUGCAAUAGAUAAGAAUCCCGGAACAAACCGGCAAUUAUAGCCUGGCAAACUAAGAAAAUUCUGAAUCUUUGUAGCGAAGACGGUCUGGGCUAACUCUUCACCGCCUCUAUCUUACUUGAGUCAACCUGAAUACACUCACUAGACACUACCUGUCUCAAGAAUGCCACUGAACUGAGCCGGAAUUCACACUUGGAGAACUUUGCAAAAAGUUUCUCCUCCUUCAAUCUCUACAAUACAACCCUCGAAUGCUCCGCGUGCUCCUUCUGACUAUGCAAUAUAGCAGAAUAUCAUCAAUGAAGACUAUGACAAACGAGUCAAGAUAAGGCCGGAACACACUGUUCAUCAAAUGCAUGAACGUUGUUGGGGCAUUCGUCAUCCCAAAAGACAUCACCAAGAACUCAUAAUGACCAUAUCAGGUCCUGAAAGCCGUCUUAAGAAUAUUUGAGUCCCUGAUCUUCAACUGGUGAUAACCCGAAUGGAGAUUAAUCUUGGAAAACACCCUCGCCCCUUGAAGCUGGUCGAAUAAAUCAUCAAUAUGAGGCAAAGGAUACUUGUUCUUAAUUGUUAGCCUAUAAUCAAUGCACAUUCUUAUUGUGACAUCCCUAUUUUUCAUAAACAGAACCAGCGCAUCCCAAGGUGGUACACUAGGCCGAAUGAACCCAUUAUCUAGGAGUUCCUGAAGCUGAUCCUUUAAAUCAUUCAACUCCACUAGUGCCAUACGAUACGACAGAAUAGAAUUGGGCUGAGUGCCCGGCACCAGGUCUAUACCCAAAUCAAUAUCCCUGUCCGGUGGCAUGCCUGAAACGUCUGCAUGAAAUACAUCAGGGAAGUCCCUCAUAACUAGAACAGAAUCAAUACUAGGAGUCUCAGCUCUGACAUCCCUCACAAAGGCAAUAUACGAAAGAUAACCCUUCCCAACCAUAUGAUGGGCUUUUAAGAAAGAGAUCACUCUACUAGGAACAUAAUCAGUCACACCUUGCCACUCGAUCCCUGGCACACAUAGUAUAGCUAAUGUGACUGUCUUGGCAUGACAAUCCAGAAUAGCGCGACAUGGAGAUCACCAAUCCACGCCCAAAAUAACAUCGAAAUCCACCAUGCUCAAUAAUAAUAAAUCAACUCGGGUCUCCAGACCCUCAAUAGUGACCACACAUGACCGAUGCACACGGUCUACAACAAUAGUAUCGCCUACCGGGGUAGAUACAUAAACAGGUAAAGCAAGAAUCUCAUGAGGUGUACCUAAAUAACAAGCAAAGUAUGGUGACAUAUUAGAAAAUGUGGGUCCAGGAUCAAAUAAUACAGAGGCGUCUCUAUGGCAGACUGAAAUAAUACUUGUAAUAAUAACAUAUGAAGCAAUAGCAUCAGGUCUGCCUGGAAGAGCAUAGAAACAGGCCUGACCGCCCCUUGAUCGACCUUCCCCUCUAGGGCGACCCCUGGCUGACUGACCUCCACCCUUAGCUGGCUGGGUGAGUGGUGAAGUAACUAGAGCAGAAGUCGAGGGCUUCCCCUUUUACUGAGACUGACCAUCAUGAAGAUGAGGACACUGCCUCCUCAUAUGCCCAAAUUCUUCGCAGUCAUAGCAAUUCCCUGUGCUGGAGAUGGCGACUGAAGGGAACCCCUAGCACCGGAAUGACUAGUAGAAGGACCUAGCAUGGAGGAACCCUAGACUGACGGAGCACGGGAUGCACUUUGAGCUGGAAGGGCACUAAGUGCAAAGUGUCCCUGAUGAGAACUGUGAAAACCAUGACCAGAUGAGUUCAACAUUUCCAAUGUAUCCCGUUAAUUCUUCCAAUGUUGGGGUAAGUUCGAAAUCUAAGAAGUGGAACACGUUGUGCGCCGGGUCCCAGCACGUGACCAACGCUCUAAUGAUGUCUCCUCGGGGUGCAAUAUCCAGUAACUCGGGGAGGCCCCUCAAGUACUUCUUUAUCUCAUCUGGCCCUUCUUUACCUAGAUCAUUCCACCACAAUCGCAGCUCCAAAGGAACUCGGCUCACAAAUGAAAAAGGUUCGAUUUGAAUUGUGCUCAUCUUGCACAUUUAUUAAGGUGAAUUAGUGACUUGUGACUUUAUUCCUGUCUGACUUCAAAAUCAAAAGCUUUCUUCUAUGAAAUUUAUUUUCUAAAACCAAACGUCUAGUUUUGCUAAUACAACCUUUUAGCAUUUCCGGAAGAAGAUUUAAGGUUGUGCUCGCUAGCCGACCAAAAAUACAAUAACGACCCAAAGGUGGCCGUUUGUUCAAAAUCAGCCUUCCGGCAUCCUUUUCGGGAACGCUUGGCUAUUCCUGACAAUAACGUCACCUGACCUAUUUAGGAUAAUAAAUAAAAUUUGAAAACUAUUUUAAAAAAGGGAAGUUGGACCCGAUGGGGGUUGCCUACGUUUCCCAUACGUAGUGAGAAUCAAACCGGCGUAGUUCGGGCAAAACAAUUUGCCAAAACCAAAAUUUUGUUGAAAAGCCCAUUUUCUUUUGUUUUUCUCCUUUCCCCCCUUUUUUUCAAAAAUCCGGCAAUAUUUCGGUGAUAUUUAAGCAUUGGUUUUAUAAGACAAAUGAUUAACUUCAGUCAGCCCUAGUACAACUUAUUUAUUUUCCCAAUUCUCUUUUCGCAUUCACAAGCCAGUCAACAUGCAAAUCCAACGCAACUAUAUGCACAAGUAGCACGUAAUAUGUAGCAGGAUGGUUUUUUCAUUACAGGUCCCUUGUCCUAGACGGACCCAACCCCGUGUUGAGGCGCCUAAGUCAAAUGCAGGUGAUGCAAACAAAUGUUCCUACUAGGGAUCCGACAUGAGGUUCUGUUAUACUAAGUUUAGCUCCUAGGUAUUUGUUUUAGACUGUGUACCCGUGCAGACAACUCGAGUCGAGGAGGGGGCUACGUACCGGGGACCCGCAAGAUCGUCCGACUUUGUAUCUUGUCCGGCCUCUUUCUUAUUUUAGGGUAAGACACUAACAAAAUAGGGAGUCUCAACCAGUAAGCACAUCCCCGGAGGUUAAGAGAGAAGUGUUUCGUAACAGUUUAUAUACAAUUCAAAUAAUAUCAAAACGGUAAAAGCAUUAUUUUGCACAUUAAGUCAACAUGUAAAAUCAAAUAAUAAUCAAAGCCAUUAGGGUAUGACAUUAACAGAAUAAGGAGUCUCAACCAGUAAGCACAUCCCGAGAGGUGAGAAGAGAAGAGUUUUGUAGCAGUUUAUAUGUACAGUUCAGGUAAUAUCAAAGCGAUAAAAGCAUCAUUUUGCACAUUAAAUCAACACGUAAAAUCAGAUAAUAAACAAAGCCAAAUACAACAAUUAUUCUAAGCUCGAAUUCUUGAACCCACCAGUAAGCACAUCCCCGGAGGUGAGAAGAGAAGGGUUUCGUAGCAAUUUAUGUGUACGGUUAAGAUAAUAUCAAAGCGGCAAAAGCAUUAUUUUGCACAUUAAGCCAACAUGUAAAAUUAGAUAAUAAACAAAGAAAAAUUCAAAAAUUAUUUAAACCUCGAAUUCUUGAACCCUGAACCAAAGAUUCUGGGUUUAAUCCCCAGCAGAGUCGCCAGAGCUGUCACACCUCAUUUUGGCUACUACAACCUUCGAAUGGCGUAAUAAGGGAGUUUUUUCCAAUUUAAGUGACAAGCGAAACGGGAUUAAUUAUUAAAAAUCAGAGUCGCCACUUGAGAUAAUUUAUGGUGUCCCAAGUCACAGAUUCAAAUCCCGAAUCGAGGAAAGUUUGACUCUAUUUAACAGUCCGCGAACUAGAAAUUCGAGUAAGGAAUUUUAUUAACCCGGGAGAAGGUGUUAGGCAUUCUCGGGUUCCGUGGUUCUAGCACGAUCGCUCAACUAUCAUAUUUGGCUUAAAUUAUUUGAUUUUAUACAAUUAUGAACCUAUGUGCAUUUUAAAUCUUUUAAUCACUUUUAUUAAGUAUUUUAAAGAAGAUUGCAACGUUAUUAAAAAAUGUCUUGAACCACGUUACAUAAAAGCACCUGUAGCUCGCAGCAUAUUUUAUUUAACAUUGAAAUUUGAAUUUGGGUCACAUAAAUGCGCAUCCAAAUUUAAAAAAGUAAUUUAAAUUACGCACGUAAAGAAACUGGGAGAUUCAUUUUUGUAAUAGCGGCAAUAUAAAGAUAUAAGACUGCUAAGCUUUGCGAAAACUCUGUUUCAACUUUUGACCAAAACACUAGCUAAAUAUAAAAGAAAACUUGAGAAUAGCAUUGCAGAGUUGCAACAUUCCUCAUCCACAUAUCUCUUGGCAUCAUAAUUUAUAAGCAGAAGUAAACCCAAUAUGUAGAGUCAAAAGCCAACAGAUUUUGAGUGGUUGCAUUAUUAUAUACUACUAUAUAUUUUUUUUCCUUUUGCAAAUCCUAAAGCAUUCCUCAUAAUGUAAAUCCGCCCUCAUUCACAAAUAAAAAUCCUAGUUGUUCAGCCAGUCAAUUCCAACAUAAUUCAGCAAAUUUUCUCAUAAAGCAACAGUAAACAAAGAGGAAAAGAUAAACUAAAAGAAAGAGUGUUGUAGCGGCAACUGUCAAGAUCAGCACACCCCAAAUGUAAUCCUUCCACUAAUAUCAUAUCAAACUAAGUCUAAGUUUAGAUUCAUCGUACUAAUAAAUAAAAAAAAGACCAAUGAUUCAAUAGCAGGCAUCCAAAAUAAAAUUAAAAGCAUGGUAAAAUAAUGAAUACAAAGCGAAAUGCAGACCACAAACUCCAAAUAUUUACAGAACCACUAAAACAGUACCACUCUAACAAAGCAUUAAGAAAAAUGGGAGAUAGACCUGAAGAAGCUUUCUGAUUUAUUGAGUUGCGGCAGUUACACAGACUGAAAUGAACCAACAACUACAGCCGGAAAUCGACACGAUUUCAAACAGAUUCAGCACGAAAUCCGAUUUGUGUUGAAACCAGAAAAUUGAUUCAGACACGACUCAGAUCGACACCUCAACUCGUUUUUAAAACUCAAAUGAUCUCCAUCUUGAAAAUCACAAUCAAAAUUAGAAGAAAAGCAGCACCACAUUUUUUUUGGUAUUUUUCUAAUUUUGAAUUGAAAUCUCUUAUGGGCGUGUGUGUUUGGGCGUUGCGGCUGAUUUCCAGCCUUUAGGUCCUAGGUCCGUUUCCCAUUUUUGUGUCAAAAAAAUGGGUGGAAAGCUGAUGCUUAGGGGUUUCUUUGUUGUGAAUUCAUGAAAAAGAUAAAGAGUAUUAGGGAGGGAUGUGUGUUUUUGUGUUGCGGCGGGUAGGGGGCAUCGGGUGUGGUCAGCUCCUCAGCUGUGCUCUUUUUUUAAUCUCCGCAUUUCUCUUCUAUUUUUAUAGAUCUAGGUCUUUUUUUUAGCUAGGAUAAGGGUAAGGGCAUGGACUUGGGUCGUGUGGGUUUGGAUAGGAAAAUCAUAAUUU
rnacentral:lncRNA from 1 species